UACGUAGGGUGCGAGCGUUGUCCGGAAUUAUUGGGCGUAAAGGGCUCGUAGGCGGUUUGUCGCGUCGGGAGUGAAAACACCGGGCUUAACUCGGUGCUUGCUUUCGAUACGGGCAGACUAGAGGCAUGCAGGGGAGAACGGAAUUCCUGGUGUAGCGGUGAAAUGCGCAGAUAUCAGGAGGAACACCGGUGGCGAAGGCGGGUCUCUGGGCAACAACUGACGCUGAGGAGCGAAAGCGUGGGGAGCGAACAGG
rnacentral:rRNA from 1 species